rnacentral:rRNA from 1 species
GUAGGUGGCAAGCGUUGUCCGGAAUUAUUGGGCGUAAAGCGCGCGCAGGCGGUUCUUUAAGUCUGAUGUGAAAGCCCACGGCUCAACCGUGGAGGGUCAUUGGAAACUGGAGAACUUGAGUACAGAAGAGGAAAGCGGAAUUCAACGUGUAGCGGUGAAAUGCGUAGAGAUGUGGAGGAACACCAGUGGCGAAGGCGGCUUUCUGGUCUGUAACUGACGCUGAGGCGCGAAAGCGUGGGGAGCAAACAGGAUUAGAUACCCUGGUAGUCCACGCCGUAAACGAUGAGUGCUAAGUGUUAGGGGGUUUCCGCCCCCCUUAGUGCUGCAGCUAACGCAUUAAGCACUCCGCCCUGGGAGUACGGCCGCAAGGCUG